rnacentral:rRNA from 1 species
UCCUUAGGUGAACCUGCGGA